rnacentral:tRNA from 1 species
AGUCGUUUAGCUCACUUGGUUAGAGCGCAGCCCUAGUACGCUGAGGUUGCGGGUUCGAUCCCCGUUCCAACCA